AUUGAACGCUGGCGGCAGGCCUAACACAUGCAAGUCGAACGAGUGGCGGACGGGUGAGUAAUGUCUGGGAAACUGCCCGAUGGAGGGGGAUCACUACUGGAAACGGUCGCUAAUACCGCAUACCAUCGGAUGUGCACAGAUGGGAUUAGCUAGUAGGUGGGGUAACGGCUCACCUAGGCGACGAUCCCUAGCUGGUCUGAGAGGAUGACCAGCCACACUGGGACUGAGACACGGUCCAGACUCCUACGGGAGGCAGCAGUGGGGAAUAUUGCACAAUGGGCGCAAGCCUGAUGCAGCCAUGCCGCGUGUAUGAAGAAGGCCUUCGGGUUGUAAAGUACUUUCAGCGGGGAGGCGUUACCCGCAGAAGAAGCACCGGCUAACUCCGUGCCAGCAGCCGCGGUAAUUC
rnacentral:rRNA from 1 species